CCUACGGGAGGCUGCAGUGGGGAAUAUUGCACAAUGGGGGAAACCCUGAUGCAGCGACGCCGCGUGAGUGAAGAAGUACUUCGUUAUGUAAAGCUCUAUCAGCAGGGGAGAAAAUGACGGUAACUGAGUAAGAAGCCCCGGCUAACUACGUGCCAGCAGCCGCGGUACUACGUAGGGGGCAAGCGUUAUCCGGAUUUACUGGGUGUAAAGGGAGCGUAGACGGCAGUGCAAGUCUGGAGUGAAAGGCGGGGGCUCAACCCCCGGACUGCUCUGGAAACUGUACGGCUGGAGUGCAGGAGAGGUAAGUGGAAUUCCUAGUGUAGCGGUGAAAUGCGUAGAUAUUAGGAGGAACACCAGUGGCGAAGGCGGAUUGCUGGACAGUAACUGACGCUGAGGCGCGAAAGCGUGGGGAGCAAACAGGAGUAGAUACCCCUGUAGUC
rnacentral:rRNA from 1 species